rnacentral:rRNA from 1 species
UACAGGGGGUGCAAACGUUGCUCGGAAUCAUUGGGCGUAAAGCGCACGUAGGCGGUUCGUUAUGUCGGAUGUGAAAGCCCUUGGCUUAACCGAGGAAGUGCAUCCGAAACUGGCGAGCUAGAGUACGAAAGAGGAUCGCGGAAUUCCCGGUGUAGAGGUGAAAUUCGUAGAUAUCGGGAGGAACACCGGUGGCGAAGGCGGCGAUCUGGGUCGAUACUGACGCUGAGAUGCAAAAGCGUGGGGAGCAAACAGG